CAUAAUCAUAUUCCACAAAACCCAAACCAAUGUAUGCUCCGUCCAACUUCCCAUUAACUGGAUCCCCAAAUGCUUGUGGCCAUUCCAGUGUGACAUGACUAAGGGGAAGUAUAUCAGAGGGAAUGUCAGAAUGGAAAAAAAUAUUGGUCUGAACUUGUGAUUGAAAUAUCCUCAGCAAAUUUUACUCAAAUAUAUGACUAUGUGAAAUCAUUUCUAGGCCCUUAAUGGGCUUGGAAGGGGUCUGCUAAGUGAGGGGCCCUGAAGCUUAAGCCCCAUUAGUAUAUCUGCCUCUGGGUAGGACAGGUGGAAUAACAUUUAUCCAGAACAGUUUAUUUAUGCUGUUGUAACCACAGCACCAAGAGAAACAACAGCCACUGUGCCCAAAAUGUUUAUGAGUUGAAUAAGACUCAAGAACAUCUUUUUACUCACAACUCAAUGCUUCUCUGCAAUCCCAAUCAUUGGCUUUUGCAUAAAUUCCUCCCAACUUUGACUUCUGUUUCUUCCUCUUUUGUGUGGUUGUAGGAACUUCAGACUGUGAGGUCUCAUCCUUUGUCGGAUCUAUUUCCAAGUACCUUGCUGAUCAAGACACAUUCUUAGCAAAUGAGUCAUAUUCACCUAAAUCUGCUAAUUUGGUUUUAUUUUAUUUUAUUUUUUGCUCUUUUUUUUAGGGUCACACCUCGGGCAUAUGGAAGUUCCCUGGCUAGGGAUCAAAUCAGAGUUACAGCUGUCAGCCUACGCCACAGACACAGCAACAUGGGAUCUAAGCUGCAUCUGCGACCUACACCACAUCUCAUGGCAAUGCCAGACCCCUGACCCACUGACCGAGGUCAGGGAUCGAAGCUGCAUCCUCAUAGAUAGUCGGAUUCAUUUCCACUGCACCACAACGGAAACUCCAGUACAAUAUAUUUCUAACUUAAUACAUAAAGUAUUUUUCAAAUACACAUAUCCAUAUAUCCUUUAUAUAAUUUCUAACCAGAUACAUCAUGCAUAGUUUUAUACUCAUAAAAUGACCAUGUUUUACACACUUAGGAAUUUUCCUUAGAAUAGAUUUCCUUUUUGAUCAAUUCUAUAUUUCAUUAUAAAAAAUGAGGUAAAAGAAAAUCUGUAGCAAAGGAAUGGUGGAUCAUCUCUCUGGUAUGAGUAUCAGAGGCUAAAAGUAGAAUCCAUCACUACAGAGCUUUUACCUUACAGACCAACUUAUAUUUUUCAUAAGAUGUUUCCUCUGGAUUGUUCUGUCAGCUCUUAAGAUUUUUCAAAUUCCCACAGGCUUUCUGUCCUGUCAGAAUCAUGGGUUGGUUAAGCUGAUUCCCUGGAGAUCAGUGUAAUUUCCUUCAUACACAGGUCUCAAUUCUACUGAAGCUUUACUAAUAAUUGCUGUUUCAGAUAUCAAGUCAACCAAAGUUAAUUGACAAACACUUGCUGAGAUUCUAUAUUGAUUUAAAAAUACACAAUAAAGCUAAUGGAAAUAUUGGUACUCAAAUGUCAGAAAGGACAUAGGAAGCACCUUGUAGAAAGAAUUUGGGAAUUUGAAACUGUAUUCAAGGUUAAAGUUUGUGGAAAUUGUUUACUUCACAGCAUUGGGUAUCUGAAGAUUAAAUUAUCUUGGAUUAGCAGCUGUGAUGGGUCAUCCUAUUGUGCAAUGUAGAAACUCAGGUUUAAUAUGAUCUUGCAUAAAACUUAUUUAGCCAUUAACUGAAAGCAGACAAAUAGGCUGCUCAUUGAUAGGCAGUUUUGGCCCGUUUCCUUAUUUAAUUUAGCCUAGUUUGUUUUCUUAAAUUUCACCUUCAUCAUGCGUUAUUCCCUGGCUAAAAGCUGCCUGUUUUUGUGUGUAUUUUAUUGUGUUUAUUGCAGGCUUAGUUUUCAAAAUAAAAAUAUUUAGACAAGACUACAGCAGUGUAAAAAUUUCACAGUUGCAAAAGGUUUCCUUAUAUUCCUCUUUUUUUCUCUCUCUCCUUCAUACACUUUGCAUUGCUUCUUUUAAUAGCUGCCUUAGUAUUCUAAAAUUAUGUGGUUAGGGUCUCUCUUUCAAUGAUGAGUAUAAACCUUGGACAUUUCAGUGUAAAAACCUUAAUUUUUAUUCUCACUUCAAAUGUAAUUUUGGUUCACUUCCAUUCAACAGUAGACACUGCUCCCACAAUUAACUUUGUUCUGUGGUCACCUCCAGUGUUGAAUGUUACAGUCAAAUCUGGGCUUUGAAGCUUUCAAGGCAACAUGAUAGAACCCUAUUACAUGUCCUCAGGCUUGCAGAUCUGUGCAUGGUCAAGUGUUCCUGGAGAAAGAAACUGACCUCCUGGCAACAACACUUGGGUAAAAUUAUAAACUAAUUUUAGACAAGAAAAAAAAGAGAGCAUCAAUUGCUAUCAUUUGGUAUGAAUUAGACAAUGAGUAAAAUAUUUGUUUUUCUGAAAUUAUAACAGAAGUGAUACUCUAGAUUUUUAAAAAUUGGCCAGCUAUCGUAUUUGUCUGAAAAACAUUAAAAUAUUGAAAGAAAUAUUUCUUCAAUAAUUCAGCUUAAAUGAAAAUUUCUCCUAAGCCAAAAUAAUUCAUAGAAAAUGAAGCUAGUUUUAGUGACGUUGAGUAGCUUAUAAUUAAAUUUUUGUUAGUUAACAUAAAAUGUAUUAGAGCAAAUAGGACUAUGAAAUGCAGCUUUUGAGGCACUCUUUAAUCUGAUUUGUUUUUACUAAUAUGAAAAAAACAUGAAUUUUCAAGGAAUGCUCUCUUGAAAGGAAAUGAACAUUUACAUUUCUAAUGUUAUCUUAAGUGUAUAUUAAGAAUUUUCAGUCUCUCAAGGAAAAUACUUAGAAGCUUCUAUGAAAAUUUUAUCUAAUUCUGUUAUGUGUUUACUGUACAUAUUUCUUUUUAGAAAUAUUAUUAUAGGAGUUCCCACUGUGGUUCAUUGGGUUAAGGAGCCAAUAUUAUCUCUGUGAGGAUGUGGGCUCAAUCCCUGGCCUUGCUCAGUGGGUUAAAGAUCCAGCGUUGCCACAAGCUGCAGUGUAGGUCACAGAGGGGGCUCAGAUCUGGUAUCAUGACUGUGGCACAGGCCUGCAGCUGCAGUUCCAAUUCAAACCCUAGCCUGGGAACUUCCAUAUGCCACAGGUGUGGCUG
rnacentral:lncRNA from 1 species